UACGUAGGGGGCAAGCGUUGUCCGGAAUUAUUGGGCGUAAAGGGCGUGUAGGCGGUAUAAUAAGUCAGAUGUGAAAGUUCGGGGCUUAACCCCGGAAUUGCAUUUGAAACUGUAAUACUUGAGUACUGGAGAGGUAAGUGGAAUUCCUAGUGUAGCGGUGAAAUGCGUAGAUAUUAGGAGGAACACCAGUGGCGAAGGCGACUUACUGGACAGAUACUGACGCUGAGGCGCAAAAGCGUGGGGAGCAAACAGG
rnacentral:rRNA from 1 species